rnacentral:rRNA from 1 species
ACGCUGGCGGCGUGCCUAAUACAUGCAAGUCGAGCGAAGUUUUUCUGGUGCUUGCACUAGAAAAACUUAGCGGCGAACGGGUGAGUAACACGUAAAGAACCUGCCUCAUAGACUGGGACAACUAUUGGAAACGAUAGCUAAUACCGGAUAACAGCAUUAACUGCAUGGUUGAUGUUUAAAAGUUGGUUUUGCUAACACUAUGAGAUGGCUUUGCGGUGCAUUAGCUAGUUGGUGGGGUAAAGGCCUACCAAGGCGACGAUGCAUAGCCGACCUGAGAGGGUGAUCGGCCACACUGGGACUGAGACACGGCCCAGACUCCUACGGGAGGCAGCAGUAGGGAAUCUUCCGCAAUGGGCGAAAGCCUGACGGAGCAACGCCGCGUGAGUGAAGAAGGAUUUCGGUUCGUAAAGCUCUGUUGUUAGGGAAGAAUGAUUGUGUAGUAACUAUACACAGUAGAGACGGUACCUAACCAGAAAGCCACGGCUAACUACGUGCCAGCAGCCGCGGUAAUACGUAGGUGGCAAGCGUUGUCCGGAAUUAUUGGGCGUAAAGCGCGCGCAGGUGGUUUAAUAAGUCUGAUGUGAAAGCCCACGGCUCAACCGUGGAGGGUCAUUGGAAACUGUUAAACUUGAGUGCAGGAGAGAAAAGUGGAAUUCCUAGUGUAGCGGUGAAAUGCGUAGAGAUUAGGAGGAACACCAGUGGCGAAGGCGGCUUUUUGGCCUGUAACUGACACUGAGGCGCGAAAGCGUGGGGAGCAAACAGGAUUAGAUACCCUGGUAGUCCACGCCGUAAACGAUGAGUGCUAAGUGUUGGUCUCAUAAGAGAUCAGUGCUGCAGCUAACGCAUUAAGCACUCCGCCUGGGGAGUACGACCGCAAGGUUGAAACUCAAAGGAAUUGACGGGGACCCGC